rnacentral:rRNA from 1 species
AAUCUCUAGCCUCAUACACAUCGGAUAACAUACCGAAAGUAUGCUAAUACAGGAUAAUAUAAGAUAUUCACAUGUAUUUUUUAUCAAAGCUCCGGCGGUAUGAGAUGGACGCGCGUCUGAUUAGCUAGUUGGUAAGGUAAUGGCUUACCAAGGCGACGAUCAGUAGCCGACCUGAGAGGGUGAUCGGCCACAUUGGAACUGAGACACGUCCAAACUCAAACGGGAGGCAGCAGUGGGGAAUAUUGCACAAUGGGCGAAAGCCUGAUGCAGCAACGCCGCGUGAGUGAUGAAGGCCUUCGGGUCGUAAAACUCUGUCCUCAAGGAAGAUAAUGACGGUACUUGAGGAGGAAGCCCCGGCUAACUACGUGCCAGCAGCCGCGGUAAUACGUAGGGGGCUAGCGUUAUCCGGAUUUACUGGGCGUAAAGGGUGCGUAGGUGGUUUUUUAAGUCAGGAGUGAAAGGCUACGGCUCAACCGUAGUAAGCUCUUGAAACUGGAAAACUUGAGUGCAGGAGAGGAAAGUGGAAUUCCUAGUGUAGCGGUGAAAUGCGUAGAUAUUAGGAGGAACACCAGUAGCGAAGGCGGCUUUCUGGACUGUAACUGACACUGAGGCACGAAAGCGUGGGGAGCAAACAGGAUUAGAUACCCUGGUAGUCCACGCCGUAAACGAUGAGUACUAGGUGUCGGGGGUUACCCCCCUCGGUGCCGCAGCUAACGCAUUAAGUACUCCGCCUGGGGAGUACGCUCGCAAGAUGACC